AUACGGAGGGUGCGAGCGUUAAUCGGAAUUAUUGGGCGUAAAGCGCGUGUAGGCGGUCUGUUAAGUCUGGUGUGAAAGCCCUGGGCUCAACCCAGGAAGUGCAUUGGAUACUGGCAGACUUGAGUAUGGGAGAGGAAAGCGGAAUUCCGAGUGUAGGAGUGAAAUCCGUAGAUAUUCGGAGGAACACCAGUGGCGAAGGCGGCUUUCUGGACCAAUACUGACGCUGAGACGCGAAAGCGUGGGGAGCAAACAGGAUUAGAAACCCGAGUAGUCC
rnacentral:rRNA from 1 species